CAGCAGCCACGGUAAUACGAAGGGUGCAAGCGUUACUCGGAAUUACUGGGCGUAAAGCGUGCGUAGGUGGUGGUUUAAGUCCGUUGUGAAAGCCCUGGGCUCAACCUGGGAAUUGCAGUGGAUACUGGGUCACUAGAGUGUGGUAGAGGAUAGUGGAAUUUCCGGUGUAGCAGUGAAAUGCGUAGAGAUCGGAAGGAACAUCUGUGGCGAAGGCGACUAUCUGGGCCAACACUGACACUGAGGCACGAAAGCGUGGGGAGCAAACAGGAUUAGAUACCCCUGUAGUCCCUGUCUCUAUACA
rnacentral:rRNA from 1 species